CCUCAAGAGGCUUUAAACACAUGUAAAGGCUGAGGUUCUGUUGCCGAAGUGAAGCAAAUAACUGAGACAACUUAAUGAGACAGUUUAUAGAUUGUUCAGGAAAACAAAUAUGCCUUUGAAAUCACUAAGUCAUUUCAGUUUUUAUUCCAGGGUCAAAGCACUGACAUCUGCAUUAUUUAGAAGCGGCUUUCAAAACUUUUUUUGCCAUAACUCACAGUAAAAAAAAAUACAUUUUAUAUUGCAACUCAAGUCUAUAAAUUCUUUCAUUCCUUCAACAUAUUGAACACCUACUAUAUGCCAAAUAUAUUUUAUGUGGAAUACAGUAGUGAACGAAGUAAAAGAGGAAGAAAGGAAAGGAGGAAGAGAAAGAAAUAAACAAAAAUUCUUGCUCUCUAAGACUUUACAUACUAGUGGAACAGACAAUAGACAAAAUAAGUAAGCCAGAUGCAGUGGCUCACACCUGUAAUCUCAGCACUUUAGGAGGCCAAGGUGGGAGGAUCGAGAGGACUGCUUGAGGCCAAGAGUUCAAGACCAGCCUGGGCAACAUAGCAAGAUGCUGUCUCUACAAAAAUUAAAAAAAAAAAAAAAUUAGCUGGGCAUGGUGGCAUGUGCCUGUAGUCUCAGCUACUUGGGAGGCUAAGGGUUGAGGAUUGCUUGAGCCCAGGGAUUCAAGGAGUCUUGCAGUGAGCUAUGAUUAUACCACUGCACUCCAGCCUGGAUGACAGAGCAGGACUGUCUCUUAAAAAACCAACACAAUACAAAGUAAAAUAUAGGAACACACAGAAACAGAAUAUUCAUGAGGCAAAACCACCUAUUUCUAUAUGCAGUACACUCAGAUGUUUUUGAUUUUUUCGGAAAAAAUGCUGGUCAAUCCUGUUAAACCAUUAAGUUGGCUUCUCAACUCAGUAAUGGGUUGAGGCUUUUGCACUUUGAAAAACACUAGUCUAGACAAUUUCUGACAUGGGCAGAGCAUGUGCUUGUUCUCACCUUAUGGAGGGAGGAACAUACAAAGAUAUUAACUGAGUUCCUCAAAUUCACCCAUGAUCUGAGGGAAGCAAUGCUGACCUCCACCUGAGGGCUUCCCAGUCCACUGCUGCCCUUUCCCUCACCCUCUGCAGUGCCUGCUCUUCUCCUCUCAUUCUGAAACCUUGCUCUGCACGUGGAGCAGCUCUUCCUUCCCUUGUCAGGUAAAAAUCACAUGAAUACUUCUAAGCCUAGCCAGACCGCACUGCGUUCCAGGAUGCCUCUCUCAGGCCACUACUGCAUUCUGGCUCGCUUGAUUGAUUGAUUUAGAGACAGGGUCUCACUCUGUUGCCAAGUUGUGCAAUCAUGGCCCACUGCAGCCUCAACCUCCCAGGCUCAAGCAAUCCUCCCACCUCAGCCUCCCGAGUGGCUGGGACUCUAUGCAUGCACCAGCACACCUAGCCAAUCUUUUUUUUUUUUUUUUAAUUUUUUAGUAGAGACAGGGGUCUCACUAUGUUGCCUAGGCUGUGGCUUGCUUUAUAACUAUUGGUGUACCAGAAUAGGAUCCUCUGCACGGUGACCUCCUAAAAGAGCAGGUACCAGUCACCUUUGUGUCCCCCAAAGCACAGUACUUUAUCUGUAGGUAUUAAUAAAUACAUAGGAAAUUGAAUUGAAUUUGUAACUCAAAGCAGAGGGGUGGAGAGAAGUGCUUCCUAGCCAGGAAUACAGGAUUUAGGCCAUAUCUAUUUAAAAGAAGACUAACAAACAGACUAGAAACGAUAACACUGGUAAAAAGAUCUCUUUACCUGAGCUACAAAAGUCAUACAUUAGGUAGAGGCUUCAAUAGUGUAGAAAAUAUACUAAUGUGUUAUCUCCUUAGAGACAGAUUUAGAACCAUGUCAGUUAUGUUGCAGAUGACAGAGAACAGAAACCUAGUGAAAUCAACUCAAGACAAUGAGGGCUACCAUAAGGAGGCCCAAGGAGUAGUUGGAUGGACCUGAGGAAGGACAGGAGCCAGAGGCCCCCUGAGGAGCUCUGCGCCGCAGAAGUAAGGCUAUCCUCGCUGCAAUGGUGACCAUUACAAUGGGGACAGUUGCCACCUCAUCAAAAUGAAGGAAAUCAGUUCAAAUUCUAAAAAAAACCUACAUGGCACAGCCAAUUCUAGAAUUGUCCACUCUUGCUUCACUUGGUUUGAGUAGGAUGGGGCUGUGUGUUUGAAAACAUCUAAGGAAGAAAGGGGGGAACAAACUCUCUGAAAAGAAAGUAGAACUUUCACUAAAUAUUGACCCAAACUGGAAUUUUCAGUUUUACGCUACCACCAGAGAGGAUGGGACUCAAGGCCAAGAUAAGGUCAGUUACAAAAAGUUAUAUAAAAUACUGUAUCUGUGAUACAGUGUAAAAUAUCAUUUCAAUCCUAUUAAAAGUUAAAAAAAAUGUAGAUUUUAGCUAAAUGACCUCUAAGUUUCAGGGAUCUACAAACCCAUGCGUGUAUAAAUAUAUCACGAAAAUCUGUACAAGAUAUUUCAUAGAAUUCUCUAUCUCAUGGUUUUCAGACUUUAUUUUGAAUCAGAUUCUAAUUCUGUAGGACUAGGGUAGGGUAGUGGGACUGCAUACUUAAAUAAGCACCCCAGAUACUGCUAAAGAUGGGUCAUGUUGAGAGACUUUCUUAACCUAAUCCCUUCCUACUUAAUUAAAAAGGAGCUCGACUUGCAUAAGUUUUCUUUUUCUUUUUUUCUUUGAGACAAAGACUCACUGUCACCCAGGCUGGAGUGCAGUGACACCGUCUCAGCUCACUGCAACCCCUGCCUCCCAGCCAAAAAGUUUUCAGUUAGAACAAAAAUGGAAAACAGAAC
rnacentral:lncRNA from 1 species